rnacentral:rRNA from 1 species
UACGUAGGGGCUAGCAUUAUCCGGAAUUACUGGGCGUAAAGGGUGCGUAGGUGGUUUCUUAAGUCAGAGGUGAAAGGCUACGGCUCAACCGUAGUAAGCUUUUGGAACUGUAAGACUUGAGUGCAGGAGAGGAGAGUGGAAUUCCUAGUGUAGCGGUGAAAUGCGUAGAUAUUAGGAGGAACACCAGUAGCGAAGGCGGCUCUCUGGACUGUAACUGACGCUGAGGCACGAAAGCGUGGGGAGCAAACAGGAUUAGAUACCCUGGUAGUCCCU